GAUGAACGCUGGCGGCGUGCUUAACACAUGCAAGUCGAACGAAGCACUUUAUUUGAUUUCCUUCGGGACUGAUUAUUUUGUGACUGAGUGGCGGACGGGUGAGUAACGCGUGGGUAAUCUGCCUUGUACAGGGGGCUAACAGUUGGAAACGGCUGCUAAUACCGCAUAAUCGCACAGCAUCCCAUGAUGCAGUGUGAAAAACUCCGGUGGUAUAAGAUGGACCCGCGUUGGAUUAGCUAGUUGGUGAGGUAACGGCCCACCAAGGCGACGAUCCAUAGCCGACCUGAGAGGGUGGCCGGCCACAUUGGGACUGAGACACGGCCCAAACUCCUACGGGAGGCAGCAGUGGGGAAUAUUGCACAAUGGGCGAAAGCCUGAUGCAGCGACGCCGCGUGAGCGAAGAAGUAUUUCGGUAUGUAAAGCUCUAUCAGCAGGGAAGAUAGUGACGGUACCUGACGAAGAAGCACCGGCUAGAUACGUG
rnacentral:rRNA from 1 species